rnacentral:rRNA from 1 species
AUUGAACGCUGGCGGAAUGCUUUACACAUGCAAGUCGAACGGCAGCACGGACUUCGGUCUGGUGGCGAGUGGCGAACGGGUGAGUAAUGUAUCGGAACGUGCCCAGUCGUGGGGGAUAACGUAGUGAAAAUUACGCUAAUACCGCAUACGAUCUAUGGAUGAAAGCGGGGGAUCGCAAGACCUCGCGCGAUUGGAGCGGCCGAUAUCAGAUUAGGUAGUUAGUGGGGUAAAGGCCCACCAAGCCAACGAUCUGUGGCUGGUCUGAGAGGACGACCAGCCACACUGGAACUGAGACACGGUCCAGACUCCUACGGGAGGCAGCAGUGGGGAAUUUUGGACAAUGGGCGAAAGCCUGAUCCAGCCAUUCCGCGCGCAGGAUGAAGGCCCUCGGGUUGUAAACUGCUUUUGUACAGAACGAAAAGGUUUCUACUAAUACUAGGAGCUCAUGACGGUACUGUAAGAAUAAGCACCGGCUAACUACGUGCCAGCCGCCGCCGUAA